UCUCAUCUUUCUUGGUUACUACCCUUCUCUCUCUUCCUCGCUUCUCGUGAUACGCAUAAAAGCUCACAUCGAAGUGUCAUCUUUGCAGGUAGGAGUUACUUAUUGGUGCAGGUGCAGGUGCGACGCACUGAUUAGGGGUGGCAGAUCUGAAACAGAGAGCAUGCAUCUUUUCUUGUUAUCGGUUUGUGGUGCUGCUGCAGAGAGGACGUUGUGCAAGAUGACACCGUCUUGAGCUUCCCCUUAAUUCUCGCAUGGCGAGACUCGUACGAACGAGGAUGCAGCGCUGCUACCGCCUCUUGGAACCAAUUAUCGCGCGCGCAAGAGAGAGAGAGAGAGAGGACGAUGUCCAAGAAGGCACCGUUUUGAGCUUCACCUUAUUACUCUCACAGGAAGUGGGACUGAGGGAGGCAGAGAAUCAGCAUUUCACUGGCGCCUUCUGCAACCAAUCGAUCAGAAUCUACUACAUGUGCGUACGAGACACCGCAGCGGAAGAUUAAUUUCCUUUCUCUUCUGGCUGUCAACUCCCACUAGAUCUAUCGCUAUCUUCCAUCACAGCAGAAGGCUUCCUUUCUCCAAUCAUCAUGGAAGAUAUUGGUGUGGCUGAAGUAGGAAGGGUUGAUCGACAAGGCCGAGCUAAUCAAGAAAGCAUGCCUGUCACCUCACUCUCUUCCAAAAGUGUCACUAUUUGCAAGAGAAAUAUACUCGUAAAAUAAACCCUGUCUCCCAAUAUAUGCCAGUCUUGUACCUAUCUGCUUCCAAGACAUUACAGGAGAGGGAGAGAGAGAGAGAGAGAGAGA